GCUUACGGAUGGCAGCAGUGGGGAAUAUUCCGCAAUGGGGGAAACCCUGACGCAGCAACGCCGCGUGAAUGAAGAAGGCCUUAGGGUUAUAAAGUUCUCUCUUCUGGGACGAUAAUGACGGUAUCUGAGGAGGAAGCCACGGCUAACUACUGCCAGCAGCCGCGGUAAUACGUAGGUGGCAAGCGUUGUCCGGAUUUAUUGGGCGUAAAGGAUGCGUAGGCGGAUGUUUAAGUGAGAUGUGAAAUACCCGAGCUCAACUUGGGUGCUGCAUUUCUAACAUGGAUAUCUAGAGUGCAGGAGAGGAAAGCGGAAUUCCUAGUGUAGCGGUGAAAUAGCGUAGAGAUUUGGAUGAACACCAGUGGCGAGGGCGGCUUUCUGGACUGUAACUGACGCUGAGGCAUGAAAGCGUGGGGAGCAAACAGGAUUAGAUACCCUGCGUAGUCCACACACG
rnacentral:rRNA from 1 species